GACGAACGCUGGCGGCGUGCCUAAUACAUGCAAGUAGAACGCUGAAGGAGGAGCUUGCUCUUCUGGAUGAGUUGCGAACGGGUGAGUAACGCGUAGGUAACCUGCCUGGUAGCGGGGGAUAACUAUUGGAAACGAUAGCUAAUACCGCAUAAUAGUAGAUGUUGCAUGAUAUUUACUUAAAAGGUGCAAUUGCACCACUACCAGAUGGACCUGCGUUGUAUUAGCUAGUUGGUGGGGUGACGGCUCACCAAGGCGACGAUACAUAGCCGACCUGGGAGGGGGGUCGGCCACACUGGGACGGAGACACGGCCCAGACUACUAAGGGAGGGAGCAGUAGGGAAUCGUCGGCAAUGGACGAAAGUCUGACAGAGCAACGCCGCGUGAGUGAAGAAGGUUUUCGGAGCGGAAAGCUCUGUUGUAAGAGAAGAACGAGUGUGAGAGUGGAAAGUUCACACUGUGACGGUAUCUUAACAGAAAGGGACGGCUAACUACGUG
rnacentral:rRNA from 1 species